AAAGAUUAACAUAUGGAGAAAGAAACCCAAAAUAAUCCAAACCCUAAGCCUCUCUCUCCUCACGCCUCCCUCCGUUCAGACGACCAUUUCAUCUCCUCCCAAACCAAUUUUCAUCCCCGAAUUCUGGUAAGUUAGGGAUCCACGCCAAGUGAACAACGUUCAAGAUGGGAUCCGAGAAAGUGAACAACAUUCAAUGACACGACCCGUCCCGACUCAACCUAAUUGACUCGACACGUGUCGUGCGCCGGUAGUAGAUGCCAGCUAAAUGCCGGACCCACCACCAAGGCAAACUUGACCUAUUUUGACUGUGCUAAUAUCUAUGAAAAUUUUGACAGAGUUUCCCCUGUAAUAUGGACAAAACCAACCUGAAAAAUCAUCAAAAUCUCAAAUAGACAUUUAAACCAAAAGUUUUGCAAACCACCACUUCCUCUAAUGCUACCACAACUACUACAAAAUAUAACAAAAUUCGACUGAGUGUUUUUACAACAUCAUCCUAUUAACAUGCAAGUAUUAUAUCACUUGCAAACCCUUCUACAAAUAUGCUUGACACCCAAAAUUAGACAAUUACUUAAUAAACAUAAGUUUCCCAACUAUUCAUUACAUACUUAGGAAAUGGUCUCUUUUGCUUCAGCAGGCUUUCCAAAUAUCUCAGAAUCGACCUUCUCCUGAUAGGAAAACAUGGUAAAAAGAUAUGAGUUUAUAACUCAGUGAGUGGAUAGUUGAAAAUAAAUAAACUUUUCCAUUUAUACUAUUUUCUGAAAAUUCUUGCACUAUUUAUCGCUAAGAACUUCUGAAAAAUAGUAACACUUUUAAAAACUAAACAUGAUCAUAUCAUAAUUUCUUGGACAUAAUUCUAGAAAUGCAACUGUAUAACAUAAUGACUAUAAAUACUCUGAUAUCCAUGAAAAAUUAUGAAAUAUUGCUGCCUUAAUACUAUAAGCUAAAAGCUUAAUUCUGAAAACUGAAUUAACUGAAUUCCAUAAUCUGAAAUCUGAUAAUAGAAUAAAUACUGAAAAAUCACACCAAAAAGAGUACCCAAUGAAUAGCCUUACUCAUGUACAGAGUAAUCUCGAUGUGCAAGGCAAAGCCAUUCAAAUCUGAUAAUCUGGUCAUACGUACGCAGAGCUGCCCCAAAGGCUAAUCACCCUAGUACACGGCCCAAAGCCUAUGUGUGUACGAGAGUGGGUCCCAAAGACCUCUGAUAAUCUGGUCAUACACUAUGGAAACACAUUCACAAUAGUGCAGAGCGGGUAAAAUCACUGUAAGUAGUCAUACACUGUGGAAACACAUUCACAUCAGUGCAAAUUGGGGUAAAAUCACCUGGGUACUUUCUGAUGGUUUUUAGAAAACAAUUCUAAAUAUGCUGAACUAUUUAAUACAAAUGUAACAUGCUGAGAAAAUAAUUUAAUUGAACUGAAAUUAACUUUAAAAAUAACUGAUUAUAAAUUCACAUUAUUUUAAAGAUCAUGCUGUCAAAUUAACUGUAUGAAAUAAUAAAUUUUCAAUAUAAUAUAAAUUUAAUAAAUACUAAUUUUUAAAAAAAUGAGUUUGUAUCCACUCACAAGGUAUGAGCUACAAGCUAGAUAGGCUGAUAGACGUUUCCAAUCGCCUCGUUACCUCCUGAAAUACGAUAAUGAUAACCAAUUUAUCCACUAUCGAAUCGAGAAACCUUAAAAGCUAAUAAUAGAACAUAAUUUAAAUGCUCUUGGUACUUAAAUAAGUUCUCAAAUUUUCCUUUAUUAAUUGGAGCUAAUUACACCUUAUAAUUCCUUGGUUAUUCACUAAUUUAUCAACAUAACCAUCAUUUCAAAUUUAAAACUAAUUUUUAUCUCCAAUCUAAUGAAACUAGUAACCACAAUUCCACCCACAUAAUAUACCUUUGUUCCAUAAAAUCAAUUCCCAAAUGAAAUAUUUCAUUUACUUAAUCACUUCACAAUUAAUUAAUUAAAAUCCCCCAAAUUCGGAUUCUAGGGUUUUUUUUUUUUUUCCAAAAUUUUGACAUCUCCAUACCUUGCUGAAAAUUUGAAAUGAAUAUAUCCCCACACUUGAGCUCCAAUUCGUACAAAUAUCCCUAAAAUUCGACAUAUUAUUCAACAAGUUAAAACCCUAAAAAUUUUAACAUAAUUCAUACUUUAUCACCUAAAACAAAUGAAAAAUUUCAACCCAACUUGAAGAUAUCAACCUUACCUCCUUUCCUCUUCUUUUUCUUUUUUUUUUCUUUUCCUUUUUCUUUUCCUUUUUCCUUUCUUCUUUCCUCUUUUUCUCUUCUUCUCUCGGUCACUGCCUCCCGUAAUUUACUCUGUGUGUGUGUGUGUAAUGAGAGAAAAUGGGUCAAAGGUUUGUAUUAAUUGGUCCAAAACCCAUAAUUGCAAACUAAGUCCCUUAACUUCACUUUUUAGUAACAUUUAAUCCUUAAACUUCCAAAAGUAUAUAUAUAAAUUCCAAACUUUUAAAUAUAUCCAAUUUAACCUUUAUAUUUCGCCAAUUGCAAAAAUAACCCAAAUAAAAUAUUUAAUUUCAUUUUAGUCCUUGAUUGACUUUGACUUUGACUAGUCAAUAUUUGAAUUUUUGACUAUAAAAUUUGGAUUGUNUUUCCUUUAUUAGUUGGAGCUAAUUACACUUUAUAAUUCCUUGGUUAAUCACUAAUUGAUCAACAUAACCAUCAUUUCAAAUUUAAAACUAAUUUAAAUCUCCAAUCUAAUUAAACUAGUAACCACAAUUCCACCCACAUAAUAUACCUUUGUUCCAUAAAAUCAAUUCCCAAAUGACAUACUUCAUUUACCUAAUCACUUCACAAUUAAUUAAUUAAAAUCCCCAAAAUCGGAUUCUAGGGUUUUCCCAAAAAUUUGACAUCUCCAUACCUUGCUGAAAAUUUGAAAUGAAUAAAUCCCCACACUUGAGCUCCAAUUCGUGCAAAUAUCCCUAAAAUUCGACAUAUUAUUCAACAAGUUAAAACCCUAAAAAUUUUAACAUAAUUCAUACUUUAUCACCUAAAACAAAUGGAAAAUUUCAACCCAACUUGAAGAUAUCAACCUUACCUCCUUUCCUCUUCUUUUUCCUUUUUUCUUUUCCUUUUUCUUUUCCUUUUUCCUUUCUUCUUUCCUCUUUUUCUCUUCUUCUCUCGGUCACUGCCUCCCGUAAUUUACUCUGUGUGUGUGUGUGUAAUGAGAGAAAAUGGGUCAAAGGUUUGUAUUAAUUGGUCCAAAACCCAUAAUUGCAAACUAAGUCCCUUAACUUCACUUUUUAGUAACAUUUAAUCCUUAAACUUCCAAAAGUAUAUAUAUAAAUUCCAAACUUUUAAAUAUAUCCAAUUUAACCUUUAUAUUUCGCCAAUUGCAAAAAUAACCCAAAUAAAAUAUUUAAUUUCAUUUUAGUCCUUGAUUGACUUUGACUUUGACUAGUCAAUAUUUAAAUUUUUGACUAUAAAAUUUGGAUUGUCACAUUCAAGCUCCGAAUCCAUCGACGAAACCGAGGAAGUUGAAUUCUCACCCUUCCAAAACCCAUCUUCAGAAAUACUUGGCAAAACCAUUUCCAAUGAAGAUGAAUUAUGAUAAAACUUAAUUUCUUCUACUUUUUCGCCUUUUUUGGCUUCCUUUUUAGCUUUUUCUCUCCUUACCUUUUGGCAAAUUGCUUGAAUUUUGGCAUCUACAGCAUUCGUCAGAGCAGUCAAUCUGGCGCCAUCGCAAAAUCCCAAUUCACUUGGGUCCUUUAGAUUUGGAAAAUUCAGGUGAGCAUAUUCGCAGUGGAGGCUAGUCGGCGCGAUCGUAAGCAUAGGCAGCAACCUCGGCGGAGUCGUAAGUUCCCAACCAAACUCUCAUUCUAUUCUGUGGAAGUCUAAUUUCAGCCACCCAUUUGCUCCAAUGCCUCUGUCGGGCUCCUCUAUACAGCUUUUUCUUGCUUAGGCUAAAAUAAUUUUGUGGAUAAACUGGUUCUUGAGGUGGGUUUGGGAGCGAAAUUUUGGCAAAUGAAGUGUUUGGUUUAUUAACAUGGCAGAAUUUUUGGAACAAGUCCCUUUGUCUUAGGUAUACUGAAGAGCCUAAUGGCUGGAAAACAUGGAUGACAUCAAAGUUUGAUGAUUGUUGGCAAUGGGAAAAAAUUGAAUCCAAGGUGUUGGAAUUACUAAUUAAAAUGAGUUGUGAAAGUGAGAAUCCAACAUUUUCAGACACAAAUUAGGUGACGUUUUCUUGGAUUUUAGCCAUUUUUUAUGUAUGGUUUAGAUUUUGAACGUUCAAAAAACA
rnacentral:lncRNA from 1 species